rnacentral:rRNA from 1 species
AGACGUCUACAUUAGAUACCCCGGUAGUCCCAGCCGUAAACAAUGUGCGUUAGGUGUGUCGGUAACCACGCGUUACUGAUGCGCCGAAGAGAAAUCGUGAAACGCACCACCUGGGAAGUACGGUCGCAAGGCUGAAACUUAAAGGAAUUGGCGGGGAGCACCACAACAGGUGGAGCCUGCGGUUUAAUUGGAUUCAACGCCGGACAUCUCACCGGAUAAGACAGCUGAAUGAUUGUCAAUCUGAAGGUUUUACAUGACUAGCUG